rnacentral:lncRNA from 1 species
CAAGUAUAUUCCCCCAGCACCUUUUAUUCCAGCUUCUCUGUUGGACCUAGCUGAUACUGUCUCAAAACGCUCCUGUUUCUGCAUUUUUUAUGCCCCUCCUUUCUGGUCUUGAUUUAAGUUCUUUGAAGUAUUUCUAACUUGCACAUCAUAAGCAUCAAUAAUUCUUGAAUAAAAUUGAUGAGAACACAUUUGUAUCCCAGAGCACACCUUGUGGAGUGCUAAAUAUGCAGCUGUCAUUCAAUUAAUAGUUCUUGAUUGAUUAAUCUCAUGUAUAUUUUUACCUUGUGUCUCUGCUUUAAUUACAUAUAUAUUUAUUUUUGCUAUUUCCAAAUUCUCUAAGUAUUUUUGGUUUUGUAAUUCCACACCAUCAUUAGUGAAUUGUAGCUCUAAUUUCCUUAAUGCCCUUCCUGAUCUUCUCUGUCAAAAUCUCCUGUUUUAAUCAGUUCUAUACGAAAUGAGCUACCCCCUGAAACUCAAUUGGAUUAAGCCUCUAAAACCCUAGAUGUUAUAUACGAGAUGAAAUCCUUUAAAUUUUAUGAAUGUGCCUGUGAUGAAUUAAUUUACACAUUUAUAUGCAUGAUUUUCAGUCUGAAACUUUUGAUAUGACAUUACAUCCAUCUCUGACCUGAGAUCAGCUUAAUUUCACCCCUGACUCUUUUUUGCUCCAGUCUUCUUACAUGCACCCUUUGCAUUACAUAUCUGUUUCCUUGGUCAAUUCAACUAUAAUGGCAUUUCUUUUCUCUGAAAGCUAAUGUUUUAUCUCCCCCUCACAUAAAAAUUCUUUCUUACAGCUGUUAUUUAUUUAAAUAAACUAGUUUCUGGAGAACAGUGACCUGAUUUAUCCUAGUCUGUAUUGUCCAAAAACAUUACAUUCAAAGGUAUUUGAUUCAGUUUUUUGGAUAAAAUAAAUCAGAAAAUGGAUCAUACCAUUUUUGCUGCUUUCCAUGUAUUUGCUAUUAUAUUAGAAGUUCUACACGGGUGUGGGUUCCAUAGCUUUUUUCCCCUAUGCCUACACGAUGUCAUAAUCUUUUAAAAAAUAAAUAUAUUAAUGGGUGUAACAUACAUGUUGAACAUAUUUAAAAUAAAUCUUCAAUAUACACCUCCACAAAUUAUAACAGAUUGAGUACAAUGAUGUGUUAUCUAAGAAAAUAAAUAAAAUUUACCAACAUUUCCGAAGCUCACCUUGUAAAAAGCAAAACUACUUUGUUCUACCCAAAAGUAGCCACUUCCCAGACUUAACACAAUGGACUAGAUUUGUCUAUCUGCAGUCUUUGUGUAUAUGAAAUAUUGCCUAUUUUGGGUUCUGGCUUAUUUUACUCAUUAUCAUAUUCAUGAGAUUCAUCAAUAUUUUUGCAGUUGAAGUUGUGAAUUAAUUUUCAUUCCUAUGUAGUAUAUCAUUUUAUGAGUUUACUUCAAUUUACAUAUACAUUCGUCUGUUGAUAAGCAUUGACUUUGUUCCAGAUUUCGUCACUAUGAAAAGUUAUUGUUAAGGGUACUUGGAUAAGUGUUUUCAUAGACAGGUGUACACAUUUCCUUAAAUAUAUGAUUAAGCAUGUAAUUAUUAGAUUAUUGAGUUAUGUUCAUGUUGAUGUUUAUGAGGUUUCCACUGCUUUCACCAGCAGUGUAUGAGAGUUUUGGGUGCUUUACAUCCUUGUCAGAGAUUAGUAUUGUCAGUCAUUUCUUUUCUCUUUCUGGGUAAAAUGUAGUUAUAUCUGUGUAGUUUUUAUUUACAAUUCUCUUAUGAAUAAUGAUUGAGCAUCUUAAAGUUUUUGUUUAGCUAUUUUUCCUUUGCUAACUGAUUUCUAGAAAUUCUAGAUAUAUGUCAAUUUUCAUACAUUUUCCAGAUAUCUUCCUUCAGCCUGGCAUUUAUCAUUUCCCUCUCUCUCUUUUUUCUUUUCUUUUCUUUCCUUCUUCAGCUGCACCUGGGCUGGGGAUUGAAUUUGUGCCACUGCACAGAACAUGUUAAAUCCUUAACUCACAGCACCACAGUGAGAGCUCCUCUUUUUUUCUCUUAAUGAUGCUUUUUUUUUUUUGGCUAUACUCACAGCAUGCAAUAGUUCCCAGGCCAGUGAUUGAACACACACCACAGCAGUUACUGGGGCCAUAGAAGUGACAAUGCUGGAUCCUUAACCAUUAGACCACCAGGGAACUCCAACAAUGCCUUCCCAUUAAAAAUUUUCUAAUUUUAAAAUAGUCUAAAAUGUGAGUAUUUCCUUAUAGUUAGUAAUUUAUGUGUCAUGUUGAAAUCAACUUUACUUAUUCCAAGAUUCUGAAUUUUUUCUUAUGUGUUCUUCUAGAAACUUCAUUGUUUCUCUAUUCACAUUUAGAUUCACAGUUAAUCUGAAUUUAAUUUCUUUAUAUACUAUGAAGUAUGAAUAAAUAUUAAUCAAUGCAGCAUGAUUUAUUGCAAAGAAUAGCAUUUCCUCAGUCCUCUAUAUUGCCAUGCUGAUAUUGCUGAAAGGACUUCCAUUUCUUUCCAAGAUGGAACAGCAGCCAAAAUAAUUACUCUAUUACAUGAAAACAAUAACCAAAAAAUCUAUAUAUGAGAAAACAGUUUUUAAGACACUAGAUAUCAAGUAAUUAAAGAGAAUGAAACCCAAGGAAUGAGAAAUGAAUAAAGUGAGUCCUUCAAUUGCCUCAGAUCAAUAUUUUGAGGGAUUUUAAAACUCGGGAACAAGGAGAGAGAAUUCCAACAAAGCUCAGUGGACUUCCUGAAUUAAGGACUUAAACCAAAACUUGGAGUAGGACAAAGCAGCUCAGUUAAGUGCUGAUCAGUGGGCAUAUAUAAGGAAACAACCUUAAACUGAGAAAAAAACUAUGCAAACUAAUUAGAAGGAACAUUAAUCACCACUCAGGAGGGAUAGGAAUAUUGCCUGUUCCUACAAGCCAGGCUGGAAAACAUCAUACCCAAUGGAUCAUUGAGUAGAACACACAGAAGAGUCUUCCCUUAGUAAUAGAAACUAAUUAAUGCUAGAUUAAAUGUUGCCUUGUUUUCAACUAAACCUCCAAACAGAAACUGAAAGGAUCAAACAGAUUCAAAAUAAUUUAACUGUAUCCUAGAACUAAACCUAAGUUUAUUAAUAGAAAUACAAAAAUAUUCAGUACCCAACAAGGUAAAAUUCAUAUCUAGUUUCCAAUAAAAAUUUACAAAAUACACAAAUAACCAGUAAAAUAAGACCAAGUAUGAUAGAAAAAUCAAAACUAUUUCAGAAUUAAUGUAGACAUUAAAAUUAGAAGAAAAUUUUAACAAUUAUUAUAAUUGCAUCCUAUAUGCUCAAAAAUAAAGACAUUUAAAGUAUAAAAAUAUAAUCAACUUGUAUUUUUUAUUGCAAAAAAUUAGCAUCCAAGGUGAUUCACAUUUAAUAAUUAAUGGCAGAUUAGAUAUUGCAGGACAGAUGAUGAGUAAAUGUAAAAAGACAUGGCAAUAAAAACUCGCCAAAUUAAAAGCAAAGAGCAACAUUUACAAAAAAUAAUAUCAGUGAGCUAUUAGAAAAUUCCAGCAGACUAACUUAUGCAUAUUUCAACACCCUGAGGGAGGAAGUUGUUACAAAAAUUAUUUAAAGAAAUAAAGGCUAAGAACAUUCAAAAUUAUAUUUAAAACAACAACAGUAACAUUGCAGGUUUAAGAAACUCAAUGAAAUUAAAGCACAAGAAAUAGGAAGAAAAAUAUAAUAAGGCAUAUCACAAUCAAAUUGCUUACUAACAAAGGUAAAAAAAAGUCAAAAACAUUAAGAAAAAAUACAUAUAACACAUUAAACAAUAAUUAUAAACAUUAGCAUAGAUUUCUCAUUAGAAACAAUGCAGAUGUAAACAAAAUGUGGAGCCACACCUCUGAAGUACUGGAUAAAAAAAGAGCCAAUCUAGAAUUUUACGUCUAGCAAAAUUGUUGAAAGAAUUCACACCAAAUGAC